rnacentral:lncRNA from 1 species
AUGUGGAAGUUAACAAAUUGCAUUCUGUGUUUUUCACAACAGACUGGGGUACUUUCCAAAUCAAAGGUGGGAGCUCUUAGAUAUUUAAAAAAUAUUUACAAAUAUUAUUUGAAGGCAAGUCAUAAGGAGGAGGGAGCAAGCUUGUUUUCUGGUGCCCUGGAGACUAUGACGCAGAACAAUGGCUUUAAACUACAGGAAAGGAGAUUCCACCUGAACAUUAAGAAGAACUUCCUCACUGUGAGAGCUGUUCAGCAGUGGAAAUCUCUGCGGAGUGUGGUGGAGGCUCCUUCAGAGGCUGGAUGGCCAUCUGUCGGGGGUGCUUUGAAUGUGAUUUUCCUGCUUCUUGGCAGGGGGUUGGACUGGAUGGCCCAUGAAGUCUCUUCCAACUCUAUGAUUCUAAGACUGUCAUGAUGAGUACCUGAAAUUCAAAAUAUAACACUGUUGCAUUUAAUUUAAACUGGGAAUGAAUGAACAAGUGAAUUACCCAGAGAGAGCAACAUUGCUGUCUAAAGAUGAGGGAAUGCUCUAAGUGCAUUAAACACUGAACUACACAACUUCUUUUCUGCCUGUAUGUUUUUACUAAUUUUCUUUAUACAAAAUAGAACAACAACAAUGAAUAAUAAGAAAAGGAAAAACUACGAAGAAAAGAGAAGAGAAACAGAUAAAAAUGAGAAAGAAAGGGAAAAGAAAGAUUAAAGUGAUUCGCAAUCUAUUCUUCGGUGGUUAAACCAAACAAACUCUAACAUCCAUCAAUGCCUCUCUCACACAAUGAUUCCUUAGCUCCUUUCUGUAAAAUACAAUUAUUGGUAAUCCAGAUCAAAUCUUAUACCCUCAUACCCGUAUUCCCUACAGAAAGUCCAUCCAUUAUUAAUACGUAUGCAAAAUUAAACAUUAAUAAUCAGCAUUGUGUAUUUCCAGUUCUCUUCCCCCUGCCUUAAAUCAGGAGCUCCAAAAUCCUCCUGGACUUCAAAAUCUUCUCAGUCGAGGCACAAAGCUCCAUCAGCAAAUGUCGGACUUCAAACCAAUUCCUUUUGUCUUUUUCUUCCAUACCAAGUCCCACAGCUCCCUCCACAUCUCUUGCUUCAUCUUCAUCUUCCUGCUCCUCAGCUACUCCAAAUUUCAAUCUAAAAUUCACUCUAAAGUUGUCAAAAUCAUUUUGCAUCCAUUUGUGCUCCUCGAAGUCAACACAUCUGUCUCUUCAGUGCCUCCUCCAACCUUGCACAUAGACUCUGUUUUUUAUUCUAAUCGGUUUCGGUGAGCUAUCCCUGCCAGCCAAAACAAAUCCUUGUUCGCAAAACAAUCCAGUUUGUAUCUUUAAACAUUUUUUGCUUUCAAGGCACUACACCAGGCAUGGGCAAACAAUUGGCCCUCCAGAUGUUU